UGUGAAGGCGAUCUGGCUGUGACAUCUGUGAUUCCAUUGAUCGCCAGGGUUGAUUUGGCUGAUCUGGCUGGCUAGGUGGGUGUCCCCUUUCUCCCUCACUACUCCAUGUGUAUCCCUCCCGAAGCUGUGCACUUGGUGGAAAAGGAUGACGUCUCGGGUACUGGAGUGUACCGGGGUCUCCGGUUUUCAGUCCUGGGUAUAUGAUAGCUGUGCUCCCCUGCUAGAACCUCCAAACAAGCUCACACUUUCCCAAAUAUGUGAAUAAAGUAUAAAACGGAGCAAGCAAACCAUCUAUGGAAGGUAGUUCAAAUUUAGAAAACAUCUAUUGUGGUUGUGUACCUUCAAGU
rfam:Anolis carolinensis unplaced genomic scaffold chrTn0065, whole genome shotgun sequence.